AGAUUGAACGCUGGCGGCAUGCUUUACACAUGCAAGUCGAACGCGAAAGCGGGGGCAACUCCGUGAGUAGAGUGGCGAACGGGUGAGUAACACAUCGGAACGUACCCAGUCGAGGGGGAUAACCAGUCGAAAGAUUGGCUAAUACCGCAUACGCUGGAGACAGGAAAGCCGGGGACUUCGCAAGAGGCCUGGCGCGAUUGGAGCGGCCGAUGUCUGAUUAGCUAGUUGUGGGUAAAGGCCCACCAAGGCGACGAUCAGUAGCUGGUCUGAGAGGAUGAUCAGCCACACUGGGACUGAGACACGGCCCAGACUCCUACGGGAGGCAGCAGUGGGGAAUUUUGGACAAUGGGGGCAACCCGUGAUCCGAGCCCAUGCCGCGUGAGGGAAGAAGGCCUUCGGUGUAACCUCGUUUCGGCCGGACGAAGUCGGUGGAUGAAUAGUCU
rnacentral:rRNA from 1 species